UUAAUGAAUUUGCCGAAUUUCGUUUUGAAAACGGGGGAACCGAUCUGGGUGAAUUAUUCUUGAAGUCAAGGGAAUAUAGGAGACCUUCAACCGAACCCUUAGCUAACUCCGUAGGCACCGAAGGGAGAAAGU
rnacentral:sRNA from 2 species